UAUGCUAGCAACAUAUAAAGAAACAAGUAGAAAAGUUCAACAAAAAGAGAAAAAAACGGGAACAGUAACCCUUCGUUGCCUUUGAGUUCUCUCCAUCUCAAUCCAAAGCUCUCACUCAAUCGCUCUCUCAUGUAUCCAAAACCUCUCUCUCUCUCAAAAUUGCUCACCAGCGAACCCUCUCUCACUCGAACUCAAAGAAAACUCCCUCUGCUCUCGCGUCCCCAACCUUCGCUCAUCUUUCACAAUCCCUCACACAAUCGCCCAAAACCCUCUCACUCGCGCUCUCUCUAUCUCGACUCAACGUAUCUCUCUCGCCCUCAACCCCAUUCCCAAAUGCAUAAAACCCACAGCUUAAAGGAACCUGAAGUUUACCUCCGAUAGCGAUUUGGUAGUGACGAUGAACGAUGAAGCCAAAACUUCACUCUUUCGCCUCUCCGAUCCGGGGUUUAGGGUUGUUGUAUGGAAUUCCCAAAGAAUAUCUUCUGCAAACUGCCUUUGAUACGCUCAGUUGGGAUUGGCCUUUUUGAUGCUUGAUUCGGAACCGUGAAAAAUUAGAAGGAAAUUACAACUUCAGUCAUCACAAGGAUUCUUCAUCGUGAUUUUGGGUUGAGUGAACUAAAACAAAGUCUUUGAUCUCCCUGACCGGGUAACUUUGGGCUGUGCAAAUCAUUUCCACCAAGAAUGGAAUUUUCUCUCACGAUUUGAUUGUUGUUUUGCUGCAGGAUUUGUGUGAAGGUAAUCUGAGAUAUCGGAUAGGUAAGGCUGGAUAAUCCGCUGAGUGUCACGUUUUGCAUUGCUUUUGUUACAAACAGACUUAUCCGAAUUGGGAUUAGGAAGUAAAGGAAUUGUUGAAGUUAAUGCUGAUUUGCUGAGGUUCUUGAAUUGGCUGGAAAUGCUGCAAGGGACAACAGGAAAACUGAAAGACUUCCACGCAUUCUUGAAGUAGGACGCCGAUUCUGAUCUGGUUGUGAAUUGAAUAAUUCGUCAGUCCUAGAAACUGCCUGUACCGGUGGUCCUCUUUGCUCUCCUUGUCUGGCAACGUGUGAUGAAGCCAUAACCUUUGCUUGUUGGCUAUUUGCUGUUUAAUGCAGAUGCGAUUUUUUGCACCAGCUGGAUGAAUCAAAAUCAAGGGCCAUCAGUUCAUGCUUUUGGGUGAUGAGGUUGCAUUGGCCUUCUUCUAUUUAAUGUUGAGUUUUCUCCUGUGUAAGGACUGAUGCACCUUUGGAUAACAUGUACUAAAAACUCUUAGUCGCAUGAAUUGGUUUCCGUUUGUUAUGCAGGUUGCAUCUGAUCUCGCUUAAGAGCUUGUUGGAGUUGGACGACCUGUUGUUGAGAUUGCAUCUGAAGCUUAUGUCUCAAAAGCUGUUGGUUGUACAGAUACUGUCUUUUUGGAUUUCAACGAGUUUUGGCAAAUACCGGUUCUUGGAGCAGGCCCUUCCAAUCUGGUCAUGAACUGACUGAUGUUGUAUGGGCUGCAGAAUGUUGUGAUUUUGCACAUCUAAGCAUUGGUUUCCAGCAGGUACAAUUUGCAACAUGGUUGAGGUUUGCCUUCUGACUUGAUGUGGUGCAGCAGGGUUCCUGGCAUGGUUCAAUGGAGUGUUUUGCGCUAGUAUUGGCAUCUGGGGCGCAGAUACUGAGGGAUCUAAGUGUUCAAUCUAUGAAGUUGAUGACUAACAAUCCUUCCAAAUAUAUUGGUCUCAUAGAUUAUGGUUUAACUGUUUCUGCCACUUUUGAGGCGAUCAGGAAGAGAUAGAGGAGAUACAGACUCAACUGAUUUCAACAGUAGUUACUGGCACAUUCACAACAGGGGUUGCAGCGGCGUUAGCAGGAGAUAUAUGGUUGCUGACAACAGGAGUUGAUACCAGAUGGGACUGCAUACCAGGUCCUGGAUCGGGAGGUUUAUUGCUUUACGGAACUGAACCAUGUUUGAUGGCUGGCUGCAUCUGAGAGGCUUUGGCUAGGUUGGUAAUGCUGCAGUUAUGUAUUACUGGAAAUGUAUGGUUAGUGAAAUUGGUGUAUGUUGGCAUUGUAUUGGGAUAAUGUUUGUAAUGUUGCAGGGUUGUUUUGAGAUGCAUGCCAGGCUGUUAUGGUUUUUGUCAUCAAGAGGAAUGGACUUGAGCCAAACAGGGAAACCUCCAAAGUUCCAUUCAGCACAAGCAUAAGGACCAAUUCUGAGGUGAACAUAAAGACCUGCUUGCUGCACCAGCUUUAUGAACUUUACCAAAUCAUGGUUCCCCUCAAAAUAAUAUUUGCCAGGUGAAGGUUCAUGCCCAUUCCAAAAAACAUAAGUUUGAAUCACAUCCAAUCCUCCUUCUUUAGCCUUUU